ACUGCCCCUAGAGACAUUGCAGGUGUGGCUGCUGUGUCAUGUGUGUCAGUAGGUGCCAGAGAGGAGAGAGGCUAUGUCUAUGCUGUGUUCUUAGAUGUUCUCAGAACAUCCGAAAGAUUAGUAGCUUAAAACU